AUUGAACGCUGGCGGCAUGCCUUACACAUGCAAGUCGAACGGCAGCACGGGAGCUUGCUCCUGGUGGCAAGUGGCGAACGGGUGAGUAAUACAUCGGAACGUACCCUGAAGUGGGGGAUAACGUAGCGAAAGUUACGCUAAUACCGCAUAUUCUGUGAGCAGGAAAGAGGGGGAUCGCAAGACCUCUUGCUUUAGGAGCGGCCGAUGUCGGAUUAGCUAGUUGGUGAGGUAAAGGCUCACCAAGGCGACGAUCCGUAGCGGGUCUGAGAGGAUGAUCCGCCACACUGGGACUGAGACACGGCCCAGACUCCUACGGGAGGCAGCAGUGGGGAAUUUUGGACAAUGGGCGCAAGCCUGAUCCAGCCAUGCCGCGUGAGUGAAGAAGGCCUGGUUGUAAAG
rnacentral:rRNA from 1 species